UCCCUGGUAGCUCAGAGGUUAAAGCAUCUGCCUGCAAUACAGGAGAGCUGGGUUUGAUCCCUAGGUUGGGAA
rfam:TPA: Bos taurus chromosome X, whole genome shotgun sequence.